UCAUAUUCAUUGAGGAUUUUCAAUAUUUAACAGGUAAAACAGGAACUUCAAUUGUGAACAUUGCAGAGAACACACUCAUCAGAAGAUGACCCUCAGAAAUAGGACAAUUAAUGAAUAAAAAGGACAGAGGCAGAUUUGAAGGAGAUGCAUGAAAUGAGGAAUAUUUCAAAGAUUGCCUGAGCAUAACCACUGCUACUGGAUAAACAUAUGGCAAUAUAAAAGAGCAGGGUCAAUGGAGGUAUCAUACAGUAUAGGCCAUGAGAGACCCUGAAGAAGAAAGUAUGGAAGAGAAACAAAAAUAAAACCAUUUUGACAUUUAUUGAAAUAUAGGAUCAAAGCCUUACAUGUAAAAUUUGGGCAUGUAAUGACUUUUCUCUUGCUCUAAGACUUAUAACAGUGAUGAUUUGAUUUAAUAUCUUUAUCCCGAUUUGUCGAAAAGAUUUGGACAUAGUGCAUCAAUUAUUUUAAAGUUUUGAUACAACGAAUUCAUUCAUUGUACUUGUAACUGGGUUUUCUGGUGCGACACUGUUUAAUCGGCUUCAAAACUAAGUUUGUGAUUUCCAAACCAGAUUAAUGAGAUACAUGUAAUAUCUUUUAACAUCGGUGACUAUUAAAUCCAUUCUUUUACAUCUCAGAAGUAUUUUUAUUAUUACAGGGAAAAUAUGCAUUGUACAUGUAUCUGUAAUAAACAGGAUUAUAGAAAUUUUCCAUAUAAUACAACACAAUCUUAGCAACUGAAGGCAAAUAUUUUAUCAAGGGUGUGAUCUAUUUAUCAAUAUGGUUUUCAGCAUCUUGCUCUACCUGUAAUGACUUGCUCCAAGUUCCAAUAUUUAAAUUUAAAUUUUGCAAACAUGGUUAUAAAAUUCUUUAAAAGCCAAAUAGUUUAGGCACAAAAUGCUUAUAUAUUUCCUAUCAUUUGUAAAGUGUACACUGAAUGAGAUGUGGAAUGUUAGAAUUAAAGUAUUAAAUAUG